AUUGAACGCUGGCGGAAUGCUUUACACAUGCAAGUCGAACGGCAGCACGGGUGCUUGCACCUGGUGGCGAGUGGCGAACGGGUGAGUAAUACAUCGGAACGUACCCAGUUAUGGGGGAUUACUAACCGAAAGGUUAGCUAAUACCGCAUACGCCCUGAGGGGGAAAGCGGGGGACCGUAAGGCCUCGCGUAAUUGGAGCGGCCGAUGUCUGAUUAGCUAGUUGGUGAGGUAAAGGCUCACCAAGGCGACGAUCAGUAGCAGGUCUGAGAGGAUGAUCUGCCACACUGGAACUGAGACACGGUCCAGACUCCUACGGGAGGCAGCAGUGGGGAAUUUUGGACAAUGGGCGAAAGCCUGAUCCAGCCAUUCCGCGUGAGUGAAGAAGGCCUUCGGGUUGUAAAGCUCUUUCGGCAGGGAAGAAACGCUCUGGGAUAAUACUCCGGGGUAAUGACGGUACCUGAAGAAGAAGCACCGGCUAACUACGUGCCAGCAGCCGCAGUAA
rnacentral:rRNA from 1 species